rnacentral:tRNA from 1 species
GGAUUUUUAGCUCAGCCGGUUAGAGCGCUCGCUUGAUAAGCGAGAGGUCGCCAGUUCAAGUCUGGCAUGAUCC